rnacentral:lncRNA from 1 species
GGCCCGCCCCUCGCAGCCUUGCCGCGCCCCGUGCGCCCUGUCCGCCCCUCGCUCGCAUUGCAGGCAUCCUGAGUCUCGGCCCUUUUCGCCAAAUCGCUGCUCUGCCGCGCGCCUACGCAAGGAAAGAUUCAAGGGUCCCUCCACUUCAGGGAGUGGAGCCCGCGCCUCGGCACGGAUCAGCUGUGCGUCUCCUUUGGCCUACUGGCUCCUCUGCUUGUGUCUAUAGCUAGCUGGACGCAUCGUGACUUUAUCUUCUCAUCUUUCCUGGCGCCCCCAGACGCAUUUCCUGGUCCCUCGAGGCAGCGGCGUCUGGGGAGUGCACUUUGCACAGACAGGGAAACCGAGGCACUCAGCGGUCUCCAAUGGAGACGCUGUAAUCGCAUUCCACGACCAGCUAGCGCUAUAAGCGCUGCCUCUAAAGCGGAAGGCCUCCCAGUCCUUCUCGACAGGAAGCAAUAUUUGCAUAUCUAAGGAGAACAAGAUUCGGCAAUGUGCUCCGGGAGCAAGUGCAGGCAUGGAACGGUAUGGGCUGGAGGGGGACAGACCUUCAGAGGCGGCUGCCCGUUCCCUGUAGUGUCACAUAAGAUUUUUAGAAGAUAGGAGUUUUCACAGUGGCGGCAGAGCCCUCUGCUAAAUCCUCAUAUUAGAUGUCAAAGGUGGCAUGUCAUUUGACCCAAUGGCUUUUUUAGUCAUUUAUCUUCCUAACACCUAUGAGAGGGAGAAAGUUUAAGCUCUCCUCACUAUGAGUUUUCAAGUAUAAAAGACUUUUUCUUCCACGAUUUUGAGAACAACUGAGGACUCUUGUGACCAGGACAACAGGGAAGCUUGCAGCAAGAUAGCUCCAGGUUGGAUUCAUGCUUCGCACCCCAAGGGCUGCCAGCCAGAGAGGAGGAGAAGCAAUCACUCCUGCAGUUUCUGAACACUACACAGACGCCAGGUAGCUUCUUCAGGAGAACAGCCCUCUGAGGAGGCAGGAAGAGGAGGCUUAUCUUUCAGCAGCCGGAGCUGCUGAGAUCUCUGGGCAGAUUAAGCUCUCUCUAAUGGAUGGGCUCCAGCCUGGCACAUUCAGUGGAGAGGGAUCCACUCAUCCAUCAUCAACAUAAUAUGGUCCUCCCUGCACUUCACAGUGUCCUCUUGCUAUUGAAAAGGCUUUUUUGCCUUCUCAAGUUUCUUUGUCAACAGUCUACAGGAAGAAGCUCAGGCCGCCACCGGCAGAGGUGAAUGCAAGCUCACGUUUUAUUUCUGACUGCUUAAUCAUUGCCUCGAUCACUGCUCAAGCUCUGCCUUUGUUUCCAAAGGUUACCUGUGGGAAAACUUCUUUUUCUAUGCUGAAAUUAAUAGGGAGGCAAAGAUGAGUCCACUGAUAAGCAGAGCCUUAAAACUCACAUAGAGAAACAACUUUGCUGGAGUGUGUGUGAGUGAACCACUAAGGAAUCAGAUAGUGUGAUGGCAGUUAUCAUUGCAGGUUAAGACAUUUCUACAAAUAUUUCGACAUCUCCAUAUACUCACUCCUUUCCCCCCUGAGUGGAGAGACUCAGCUACCAAGAGAGGAAGCUCAAAAAAAACAGAAGCUUCAAACAAACAACCAACCAAAAAAAAAAAAAAACUGUGGGUUCAUCAGAGGUGGUAGGGAAGACAAAAACAUGGGAGGAGCAGCUGGGCACGGUGGCUCAAGCCUGUAAUCCCAGCACUUUGCGAGGCUGAGGUGGGUGGAUCACCUGAGGUCAGGAGUUCGAGACCAGCCUGGCCAACAUGGUGAAACCCCAUCUCUACUAAAAAUACAAAAAAUUAGCCGGGCGUUGUGGUACGCACCUGUAAUCCCAGCUACUCCGGAGGCUGAGGCAGCAGAAUCGCUUGAACCCAGGAGGCAGAGGUUGCAACGAGCCAAGAUCGCACCAUUGCACUCCAGCCUGGGCAACAAGAGCGAAACUCCAUCUAAAAAAAACAAACAAGCAAACAAACAAAAAACACGGGAGGAGCAAUAAAAAGGAAUCCAUGCUUUGAUUUUUUUUUUUAGUGAGAGGAAGGGAAGGCUGCUGCCUCUCACUUCUCCCUGUUUUGUUGUUCUUUUAAGUAGCAUGUGUCACUCUGUAUAUAUCCU